CCCCUCUCAGGGUCACAUCUGGAGAGUUUCCAGUACUUUACCAGACUCGACUACACAAGGGGGAGUCAAGCAGAAGCAUAUCCAUUCCAUUCCUAGCUUGGGCUGUGGCUAGUGAAUGGAAGACAAUCUGCUGCAAGU